UGGGGAGUCGCCAAGUGGUAAGGCAGCGGCCUUUGAAGCCGCCAUUCAGGGGUUCGAAUCCCUUCUCCCCAGCCA
rnacentral:tRNA from 1 species